rnacentral:rRNA from 1 species
GAUGAACGCUAGCGAUAGGCCUAACACAUGCAAGUCGAGGGGCAUCACGGAGUAGCAAUACUUUGGUGGCGACCGGCGCACGGGUGAGUAACGCGUAUGCAAUCUACCUACAACAGGGGGAUAACCCGGAGAAAUCCGGACUAAUACCGCAUAACACAGGGGUCCCGCAUGGGAAUAUUUGUUAAAGAUUUAUCGGUUGUAGAUGAGCAUGCGUUCCAUUAGGUAGUUGGUGAGGUAACGGCCCACCAAGCCUGCGAUGGAUAGGGGAACUGAGAGGUUUGUCCCCCACACUGGAACUGAGCAACGGACCAGACUCCUACGGGAGGCAGCAGUGAGGAAUAUUGGUCAAUGGGCGAGAGCCUGAACCAGCCAAAUCGCGUGAAGGAAGACUGCCUUAUGGGUUGUAAACUUCUUUUGUACAGGAAUAAAAAGAGGGACGUGUCCUUCAUUGCAUGUACUGUACGAAUAAGCAUCGGCUAACUCCGUGCCAGCAGCCGCAGUAA